ACACAAACUAACGAAGAGGUUAUGUUUGUAUCUAUUUUUCAAUGAUUUUUCAUUGUUUAUCGUCGUAUUUUGUCUAUUUUCAAUUCAUUUGGAUUUCGUUUCCUGUUUUUGUGAACUUUAUAAACUUUACCACAAUGCAAACUGAUUAUUUAAGGAAAUUAUUAUUGGAAACUCCAGAUGUUGCGAGAAAGAUAUUUAUUGAAGCUGAAAAUAAUUGGGGAUUUAGAUCCAUACGGAAUUCAGUCAGAAUUGGAUUUUACAGUAAAGUGCAGUCCAUCAAGUUACUAUUAUAGAUAUUUAUACAGAUCUGGUGGAGUCUCACAGUUGCUACUCUAAGCAGCAGAUGAAAGCAUACAAAAGCCUUCAGGCACAUAAAUAUUUUACAGCUGGAUUUGUUUUGAAUGGAGUAAAAAUUGUUAAUGAUUUCCUGAUUUCCAUAUAUUAUUGUUGGAAAGGUAUGCCUUUAUUUUAUUUAUUCACCAUUAAGAAAUAUAUGGAUAACAGUAUUAGUGUCUUUUGGAUAAAUUGGUUCUAAAUAUUAGAUUUAUUUAUGUUUAUAUAUCUGUAUGAAACCAGACAUAUCGUUGUCCUAAUAUGUAAACUGCGAACUCCAUAAUUCUCUGAAAAUGAUUUAUUACUGCCAUCGAUUUGAAUUACUGUCAUGAUUGUUCUAAAAUUAUAUUAUAUGAAUGUCUGAUUUUAAAUAAAAUAUUCUCAAUCAUUGUAAAGAACGCAAAUACUCUAAUAAAAAUAAAUUUUUGUAGUUGAAGAAUUUCCAAAAAAAAUAAAAUAUUUUUUUUAGGUGAAGCAUUUCCAAAAAGCUAAUGCUAAACGACUAAAUGCUUGGGUGGGGUGAUAGCCAGUUCUGAUGACAUAGCAAAUGCACAUUGUAUGUGUAUGGCCGGUAAUAGUGAAGUCUGCAGCAAUCCUAUUUUUAGCUGAGUAUGCCCAGAGCAAGACAGACGAAGAAGAACCCAAUGCAUGUACAUAUGUUACAGCUACAUGGUUUGGAGAUAGCAGCAUAUGCAUUCUCUGAUGAAAAACUAAUGAGUUUUGAAACUGUUCGGUCAGAGUGCUUGUUGCGCUCACUAAACGAACUGAAAUAUAAGAUGGCUUUGGCAUUGUGUUGCAGCGAUAGGAAAAUGGUUAUUCAUUUUUAAUUAUAAUGUACUUCUUCAUCAUGAGUAAUUAUGUAUUGGUCUUUUAGAUGUGUAUUUAUUUUUGUAAUUAGUAUCAACUUGUAAUGAUAAUAUACAUUUAUCGUUUAAGGUACGACUAUGUUUUGACUCUAAAAUAAAUGUUUUAAAAAUCGAA
rnacentral:lncRNA from 1 species